rnacentral:rRNA from 1 species
UACGGGGGGAGCAAGCGUUGUUCGGAUUUACUGGGCGUAAAGGGCGCGUAGGCGGCCAGCACAAGUCAGUUGUGAAAUCUCCGAGCUUAACUCGGAAAGGUCAACUGAUACUGUGCGGCUAGAGUGCGGAAGGGGCAACUGGAAUUCUUGGUGUAGCGGUGAAAUGCGUAGAUAUCGAGAGGAACACCAGAGGUGAAGACGGGUUGCUGGGCCGACACUGACGCUGACAGCGCGAAAGCCAGGGGAGCAAACGGG